UUUUGUUCCAGAUUCAAGUUCAACAAAUGGAUAUUUCACCAUAACUUCCAUCAAAAUCAUCAUAUCAACUUCAAACCAAAGCCAAAUUGUGCAUUUUUUUCAUUCUCUAUCUGAUGGUAUGUAUCAUGACAUCAUAAGGGCCAUGGCUUCGUUAGCGC